ACAGCAAGAAGAUCGAUCUACCAGACGGGCUAUGCGUUGAAAUAUCUCCUGACGGUUGUACAUACCACGAUGGUCUUUGCUUCCAUUGUUUGGUAACUGACGUCUACUACCCCACUAUGGAUGACUGCAAGAGCAAUUGCAACAAAUCCUCGUCUUUACAAGACGUGCUAGUUGCCAUGACAACCUCCCCUCCUCCUCCUUUAUCUGCUCCUUAAUUUUCCGGCCUAGACAAUGGUUAUAUGUACAAGAUUGUCCCCUGAAAAUAAUGCCUAUGUGCGGAAACCAGUUAUGCAAUGCGAGUAAUAUACUGCAGCAGUUGUUGCUGAGUAUUUUGGUUUGGCAAAUCACAUUUGAACCUUUACUAGGAAUUGUUGGGAGAGCGAUGAAAUGACUCGCAAGCGCAGAUGCUCCGGAAAUCUGAGUGGUACAGCUUAGCUUGGGAUCUGUGUCGGUUAAAUCUGUGUCACAUAUACGUUUUAGAAUACAGAGGUGAAUACAUCUGCAGAUGGGCUAUACUGGACCAUAGUACUAACUCCUCGCAAAGUCGCAAGUCUCCUCUGUUCAAGUCCAUCGAUGUCCCAUGCAAAAUAAAAUGAAAUAAGUCCAUCGAUCUCUCACUUAAAAAGAGUCCUAUGGCUAUGGAUGACCAGGGAGGCCGCCCUUGGCCAAUAUCCGGCGCCGGUGAGUUCGUCUACCCUGUCAUGGUGGGUUUCUCAUCUAUCCUACCUCUCAUGAGGCGUCCGGUUCUUGUCUUUCCCAAGCUCACAUUAAUAUUCCCAAAUCAGCCCUCGGCCGGCCUUGGCGACAUCAUCUUCAUCCACUCCCGUGCUGCACACACCCAUUUCUCUGAUCUCUUAAAGCAACUCUAGCCGAGCCCAUAAAAGAUACAGGAGUAUUUGGCCGGGUAAACCUUAAUGGAGUAAAUUUAGUCCACUAAGUUUUGGUCGGUUCUAGCUGAUCCCCUAAAUUUAGCGGAGUAAAAUAAAAUUUGGUUAAGAUGAACAUAGAUUCGAUCUAAACAAACUUCUAAACCGAAAUUCGACACGUAAUUUACAUUAUCAUCCGUCGAAACAUAGUUCAAAGUGAUACUAAAACUUGAACUCAAACAUAAGCUAAAAUCUAAAUCUAACCAAAAAAAUUAGUCGCUAUUCGACUUUGCGAGGGAGAGCAAGUCCUCCCUAGAGAUUCCACCGCCCAUGGGGUCAGUCCCUAGGUCGUCUUCGUUGUAUCCAGGAAGGUCCUUCACCACUCCUCGAUGUUGAAGCUGUCAUCGUUGCCGCCUCCACUGCCACCAUUGUUGCCGCCUCCACCGAGCCAGCUCGUCAUCGACCAGCGCCCACGUGCAUCUAGGGAUCAUACAUUCAACAGGGGGUGACUCCAUGAGUCAGGUGAUCCACAAAAACCGCAUGAGCUAGAGUCCGCCAUAUGGCUGUGUGCCCAAUAUCAUUUGUUGCUAAAGAAUGUAUGGAUAGAUGCCAAAGGAACAGCCUCACGUUUCCCGGCACCAGAACUUUCCAUAAACUUUUCCAUGAGCCCUCUUCAGCAGCCGAGGUGGAGGAACCAUCCCUUUGAUCUAAGCAUGACUAUUGGAGAACUAAUUACAAUUAUGAAAUAUACAAAUAUAGACAUAGGAGAUAAGUCCAACCAAAUUUGGGAACUUGUCUAAAAAGGGAGAAAAUUAGUCUGACUUGAUUUUGCUUUUAAUGAGGGUUCAUAAUAUAGGAUGAUAUUAAAUAAUCCAAUUUUAUUGCUUGAUGGUUUACACGGGAUAAGGAUGACCGGUUCUCUCUUCUCUCAAUAUAUACGAUCGACUCAUGUGCUCAUUGGUAACCAAACAUUUCUCAUCGACAACCAAAGUGACCUGAGUGCCUGCGUAGCUAGUGUUGUAUCUGGUUGGCCAUGGACAAGUACACGAUUCGCAUCCUUGCACUAGGAGCCCUAGUGUGUCUACAUCUCGUAUGCUCUGCUACUGUUGCUCAAUGUAAGGCAGCUAGCAUACCAAUAUUUAUGUAUCUUCACAAUGCUUAAUUUUUCUUCACUUGUCCUGGCUGGAAGUAUGUACCUAGUAUAGCUAUCAAAGGCCUUUCUAUUUUGCUUUGUAACUGGUUCCAUCGUUUAUAUGCAUAUAUAUACAUACACACUACUCUAAAAUAAUUGCAUAACGAUGGUUGUUCGUUUGUUAUUACUCCAUAAUAUACAGGCCAAAUCAUGGCUGACACCGACAGCAAGAAGAUCGAUCUACCAGACGGGCUAUGCGUUGAAAUAUCUCCUGACGGUUGUACAUACCACGAUGGUCUUUGCUUCCAUUGUUUGGUAACUGACGUCUACUACCCCACUAUGGAUGACUGCAAGAGCAAUUGCAACAAAUCCUCGUCUUUACAAGACGUGCUAGUUGCCAUGACAACCUCCCCUCCUCCUCCUUUAUCUGCUCCUUAAUUUUCCGGCCUAGACAAUGGUUAUAUGUACAAGAUUGUCCCCUGAAAAUAAUGCCUAUGUGCGGAAACCAGUUAUGCAAUGCGAGUAAUAUACUGCAGCAGUUGUUGCUGAGUAUUUUGGUUUGGCAAAUCACAUUUGAACCUUUACUAGGAAUUGUUGGGAGAGCGAUGAAAUGACUCGCAAGCGCAGAUGCUCCGGAAAUCCGAGUGGUACAGCUUAGCUUGGGAUCUGUGUCGGUUAAAUCUGUGUCACAUAUACGUUUUAGAAUACAGAGGUGAAUACAUCUGCAGAUGGGCUAUACUGGACCAUAGUACUAACUCCUCGCAAAGUCGCAAGUCUCCUCUCUUCAAGUCCAUCGAUGUCCCAUGCAAAAUAAAAUGAAAUAAGUCCAUCGAUCUCUCACUUAAAAAGAGUCCUAUGGCUAUGGAUGACCAGGGAGGCCGCCCUUGGCCAAUAUCCGGCGCCGGUGAGUUCGUCUACCCUGUCAUGGUGGGUUUCUCAUCUAUCCUACCUCUCAUGAGGCGUCCGGUUCUUGUCUUUCCCAAGCUCACAUUAAUAUUCCCAAAUCAGCCCUCGGCCGGCCUUGGCGACAUCAUCUUCAUCCACUCCCGUGCUGCACACACCCAUUUCUCUGAUCUCUUAAAGCAACUCUAGCCGAGCCCAUAAAAGAUACAGGAGUAUUUGGCCGGGUAAACCUUAAUGGAGUAAAUUUAGUCCACUAAGUUUUGGUCGGUUCUAGCUGAUCCCCUAAAUUUAGCGGAGUAAAAUAAAAUUUGGUUAAGAUGAACAUAGAUUCGAUCUAAAUAAACUUCUAAACCGAAAUUCGACACGUAAUUUACAUUAUCAUCCGUCGAAACAUAGUUCAAAGUGAUACUAAAACUUGAACUCAAACAUAAGCUAAAAUCUAAAUCUAACCAAAAAAAUUAGUCGCUAUUCGACUUUGCGAGGGAGAGCAAGUCCUCCCUAGAGAUUCCACCGCCCAUGGGGUCAGUCCCUAGGUCGUCUUCGUUGUAUCCAGGAAGGUCCUUCACCACUCCUCGAUGUUGAAGCUGUCAUCGUUGCCGCCUCCACUGCCACCAUUGUUGCCGCCUCCACCGAGCCAGCUCGUCAUCGACCAGCGCCCACGUGCAUCUAGGGAUCAUACAUUCAACAGGGGGUGACUCCAUGAGUCAGGUGAUCCACAAAAACCGCAUGACCUAGAGUCCGCCAUAUGGCUGUGUGCCCCAACAUCAUUUGUUGGUAAAGAAUGUAUGGAUAGAUGCCAAAGGAACAGCCUCACGUUUCCCGGCACCAGAACUUUCCAUAAACUUUUCCAUGAGCCCUCUUCAGCAGCCGAGGUGGAGGAACCAUCCCUUUGAUCUAAGCAUGACUAUUGGAGAAUUAAUUACAAUUCUGAAAUAUACAAAUAUAGACAUAGGAGAUAAGUCCAACCAAAUUUGGGAACUUGUCUAAAAAGGGAGAAAAUUAGUCUGACUUGAUUUGUGCUUUUAAUGAGGGUUCAUAAUAUAGGAUGAUAUUAAAUAAAUCCAAUUUUAUUGCUUGAUGGUUUACACGGGAUAAGGAUGACCGGUUCUCUCUUCUCUCAAUAUAUACGAUCGACUCAUGUGCUCAUUGGUAACCAAACAUUUCUCAUCGACAACCAAAGUGACCUGAGAGCUUGCGUAGCUACUGUUGUAUCUGGUUGGCCAUGGACAAGUACACGAUUCGCAUCCUUGCACUAGGAGCCCUAGUGUGUCUACAUCUCGUAUGCUCUGCUACUGUUGCUCAAUGUAAGGCAGCUAGCACACCCAUAUUUAUGUAUCUUCACAAUGCUUAAUUUUUCUUCACUUGUCCUGGCUGGAAGUAUGUACCUAGUAUAGCUAUCAAAGGCCUUUCUAUUUUGCUUCGUAACUGGUUCCAUCGUUUAUAUGCAUAUAUAUACAUACACACUACUCUAAAAUAAUUGCAUAACGAUGGUUGUUCGUUUGUUAUUAUUCCAUAAUAUACAGGCCAAAUCAUGGCUGACACCGACAGCAAGAAGAUCGAUCUACCAGACGGGCUAUGCGUUGAAAUAUCUCCUGACGGUUGUACAUACCACGAUGGUCUUUGCUUCCAUUGUUUGGUAACUGACGUCUACUACCCCACUAUGGAUGACUGCAAGAGCAAUUGCAACAAAUCCUCGUCUUUACAAGACGUGCUAGUUGCCAUGACAACCUCCCCUCCUCCUCCUUUAUCUGCUCCUUAAUUUUCCGGCCUAGACAAUGGUUAUAUGUACAAGAUUGUCCCCUGAAAAUAAUGCCUAUGUGCGGAAACCAGUUAUGCAAUGCGAGUAAUAUACUGCAGCAGUUGUUGCUGAGUAUUUUGGUUUGGCAAAUCACAUUUGAACCUUUACUAGGAAUUGUUGGGAGAGCGAUGAAAUGACUCGCAAGCGCAGAUGCUCCGGAAAUCCGAGUGGUACAGCUUAGCUUGGGAUCUGUGUCGGUUAAAUCUGUGUCACAUAUACGUUUUAGAAUACAGAGGUGAAUACAUCUGCAGAUGGGCUAUACUGGACCAUAGUACUAACUCCUCGCAAAGUCGCAAGUCUCCUCUCUUCAAGUCCAUCGAUGUCCCAUGCAAAAUAAAAUGAAAUAAGUCCAUCGAUCUCUCACUUAAAAAGAGUCCUAUGGCUGUGGAUGACCAGGGAGGCCGCCCUUGGCCAAUAUCCGGCACCGGUGAGUUCGUAUACCCUGUCAUGGUGGGUUUCUCAUCUAUCCUACCUCUCAUGAGGCGUCCGGUUCUUGUCUUUCCCAAGCUCACAUUAAUAUUCCCAAAUCAGCCAUCGGCCGGCCUUGGCGACAUCAUCUUCAUCCACUCCCGUGCUGCACACACCCAUUUCUCUGAUCUCUUAAAGCAACUCUAGCCGAGCCCAUAAAAGAUACAGGAGUAUUUGGCCGGGUAAACCUUAAUGGAGUAAAUUUAGUCCACUAAGUUUUGGUCGGUUCUAGCUGAUCCCCUAAAUUUAGCGGAGUAAAAUAAAAUUUGGUUAAGAUGAACAUAGAUUCGAUCUAAACAAACUUCUAAACUGAAAUUCGACACGUAAUUUACAUUAUCAUCCGUCGAAACAUAGUUCAAAGCGAUACUAAAACUUGAACUCAAACAUAAGCUAAAAUCUAAAUCUAACCAAAAAAAUUAGUCGCUAUUCGACUUUGCGAGGGAGAGCAAGUCCUCCCUAGAGAUUCCACCGCCCAUGGGGUCAGUCCCUAGGUCGUCUUUGUUGUAUCCAGGAAGGUCCUUCACCACUUAUCGAUGUUGAAGCUGUCAUCGUUGCCGCCUCCACUGCCACCAUUGUUGCCGCCUCCACCGAGCCAGCUCGUCAUCGACCAGCGCCCACGUGCAUCUAGGGAUCAUACAUUCAACAGGGGGUGACUCCAUGAGUCAGGUGAUCCACAAAAACCGCAUGAGCUAGAGUCCACCAUAUGGCUGUGUGCCCAAUAUCAUUUGUUGCUAAAGAAUGUAUGGAUAGAUGCCAAAGGAACAGCCUCACGUUUCCCGGCACUAGAACUUUCCAUAAACUUUUCCAUGAGCCCUCUUCAGCAGCCGAGGUGGAGGAACCAUCCCUUUGAUCUAAGCAUGACUAUUGGAGAAUUAAUUACAAUUAUGAAAUAUACAAAUAUAGACAUAGGAGAUAAGUCCAACCAAAUUUGGGAACUUGUCUAAAAAGGGAGAAAAUUAGUCUGACUUGAUUUGUGCUUUUAAUGAGGGUUCAUAUUAUAGGAUGAUAUUAAAUAAAUCCAAUUUUAUUGCUUGAUGGUUUACACGGGAUAAGGAUGACCAGUUCUCUCUUCUCUCAAUAUAUACGAUCGAUUCAUGUGCUCAUUGGUAACCAAACAUUUCUCAUCGACAACCAAAGUGACCUGAGAGCUUGCGUAGCUAGUGUUGUAUCUGGUUGGCCAUGGACAAGUACACGAUUCGCAUCCUUGCACUAGGAGCCCUAGUGUGUCUACAUCUCGUAUGCUCUGCUACUGUUGCUCAAUGUAAGGCAGCUAGCACACCGAUAUUUAUGUAUCUUCACAAUGCUUAAUUUUUCUUCACUUGUCCUGGCUGGAAGUAUGUACCUAGUAUAGCUAUCAAAGGCCUUUCUAUUUUGCUUUGUAACUGGUUCCAUCGUUUAUAUGCAUAUAUAUACAUACACACUACUCUAAAAUAAUUGCAUAACGAUGGUUGUUCGUUUGUUAUUAUUCCAUAAUAUAUAGGCCAAAUCAUGGCUGACACCGAUAGCAAGAAGAUCGAUCUACCAGACGGGCUAUGCGUUAAAAUAUCUCCUGAUGGUUGUACAUACCACGAUGGUCUUUGCUUCCAUUGUUUGGUAACUGACGUCUACUACCACACUAUGGAUGACUGCAAGAGCAAUUGUAACAAAUCCUCGUCUUUACAAGACGUGCUAGUUGCCAUGACAACCUCCCCUCCUCCUCCUUUAUCUGCUCCUUAAUUUUCCGGCCUAGACAAUGGUUAUAUGUACAAGAUUGUCCCCUGAAAAUAAUGCGUAUGUGCGGAAACCAGUUAUGCAAUGCGAGUAAUAUACUGCAGCAGUUGUUGCUGAGUAUUUUGGUUUGGCAGAUCACAUUUGAAC
rnacentral:lncRNA from 1 species